rnacentral:lncRNA from 1 species
AGGGAGAAACGGAAAGAAACAAAGAAGAGGAAAGAGAGAAGAGAGAAGAGGAAAGAGAAGAGGAAAGAGAGAAGAGGAAAAAGAAAAGAGGAAAGAGAAAAGAAAGAGAGUCAGGCAGAGAAGAGGAAGAGAAGGAAGAAAGAUGGUGAGUGAGCAGAGAGAAAAUUCAGUGAGCCACAUAUAUUGUAAAUACUAUUGUAGCCAUAUUAUUUUAUAUAGUGAAAAGUUACUGCUGCUGCUCUCCGAGGACGUAGGCAUAGCCGAACCUCGUUAAAUGCUGUGUCUCAUCUACUUUACGUGCAGCUAAAUAUUCGUACAUAUUCCAGGUCAUUUUAUAACACGUUAUCAG